rnacentral:rRNA from 1 species
AUUGAACGCUGGCGGCAGGCCUAACACAUGCAAGUCGAACGGUAACAGGAAGAAGCUUGCUUCUUUGCUGACGAGUGGCGGACGGGUGAGUAAUGUCUGGGAAACUGUCUGAUGGAGGGGGAUAACUACUGGAAACGGUAGCUCAUAUCGCAUAACGUCGCUAGACCAAAAAGGGGGACCUUCUCGCCUCUUGCCAUCGGAUGUGCCCAGAUGGGAUUAGCUAGUAGGUGGGGUAACGGCUCACCUAGGCGACGAUCCCUAGCUGGUCUGAGAGGAUGACCAGCCACACUGGAACUGAGACACGGUCCAGACUCCUACGGGAGGCAGCAGUGGGGAAUAUUGCACAAUGGGCGCAAGCCUGAUGCAGCCAUGCCGCGUGUAUGAAGAAGGCCUUCGGGUUGUAAAGUACUUUCAGCGGGGAGGAAGGGAGUAAAGUUAAUACCUUUGCUCAUUGACGUUACCCGCAGAAGAAGCACCGGCUAACUCCGUG